UACGAGGGAUGCAAGCGUUAUCCGGAAUUAUUGGGCGUAAAGCGUUUGUAGGCGGGCGAGUGUGUUUAAUGUUAAAUCUUAAAGCUCAACUUUGAAAUUGCGUUAAAAACUGCUUGUCUUGAGUAUGGUAGGGGUAAAGGGAAUUCCCAGUGUAUCGGUGAAAUGCGUAGAUAUUGGGAAGAACACUAAACAGCGAAGGCACUUUACUAGGCUAAUACUGACGCUGAGAAACGAAAGGUAAGGUAGCGAAACGGAUUAGAUACCCGUGUAGUCUUACCCGUAAACUAUGGACACUAAACGGUAAAUUUUUAAUUUACUGUUAAAGCUAACGCGUUAAGUGUCCCGCCUGGGGAGUAUGCUUGCAAAAGUGAAACUCAAAGGAAUUGACGGGGGCCCGCACAAGCGGUGGAGCAUGUGGUUUAAUUCGACGGUACACGAAGAACCUUACCAGGAUUUGACAUGCUAGAUAGUUGCUUGAAAGAGUAACGUGCCGUAAGGAAUCUAGACACAGGUGGUGCAUGGCUGUCGUCAGUUCGUGUUGUGAAAUGUUGGGUUAAGUCCCGCAACGAACGCAACCCUUGUCUUUAGUUAUUUUCUAAAGAGACUGCCUGUAAUAAACAGGAGGAAGGUAAGGAUGAGGUCAAGUCAUCAUGCCCCUUAUGUCCUGGGCUACACACGUGCUACAAUGGGAAAGACAAUGAGCUGCAAAUCUGUAAAUUUAAGCAAAUCUCUUAAACUUUCUCGUAGUUCGGAUUGUGGGCUGCAACUCGCCCACAUGAAGUUGGAAUCGCUAGUAAUCGCCAGUCAGCUAUAUGGCGGUGAAUCCGUUCCCGGGCCU
rnacentral:rRNA from 1 species